rnacentral:rRNA from 1 species
GAUGAACGCUGGCGGCGUGCCUAAUACAUGCAAGUCGAGCGAACAGAUGAGGAGCUUGCCCCUCUGACGUUAGCGGCGGACGGGUGAGUAACACGUGGAUAACCUACCUAUAAGACUGGGAUAACUUCGGGAAACCGUAGCUAAUACCGGAUAAUAUAUUGAACCGCAUGGUUCAAUAGUGAAAGACGGUUUUGCUGUCACUUAUAGAUGUAUCCGUGCCGCAUUAGCUAGUUGGUAAGGUAACGGCUUACCAAGGCAACGAUGCGUAGCCGACCUGAGAGGGUGAUCAGCCACACUGGAACUGAGACACGGUCCAGACUCCUACGGGAGGCAGCAGUAGGGAAUCUUCCGCAAUGGGCGAAAGCCUGACGGAGCAACGCCGCGUGAGUGAUGAAGGUCUUCGGAUCGUAAAACUCUGUUAUUAGGGAAGAACAUAUGUGUAAGUACCUGUGCACAUCUUGACGGUACCUAAACAGAAAGCCACGGCUAACUACGUG